CGGGGCGUAGCGUAGCUUGGUAGCGCGUCUGAAUGGGGUUCAGAAGGUCGUGCGUUCAAAUCGCACCGCCCCGACCA
rnacentral:tRNA from 2 species